GUGGAAUCCCUGAGUUUUCUCACUAAUUUAUUGGAAAGCUAAAUGGGAGAAGAAAGCGGGUGUUUCAAGAAGAAUCGGUACGCAGGGAGCUCCGAAGCUGUGAAGUGGGGAUUCCUCUCAACAGAUGUGUUCCAUGAAUUGAGCUAUAGAAAAGGUUCCCUACUUUGGGUCUAUUAUCCUAUUAUUUUUGUGUGUCCCUUAAAAAGAAUUAGAAAAUAUUCUAUUUCUUUGUGUUUAUGUUUUUGUUUGAUGACAGUUCUAUGCUAAAUGUAUUUUAAAAUAAAAGCCAAGAUCAAUCCCACAAGGAUCUUUCUUCUGUU